rnacentral:misc_RNA from 1 species
AAGUCGUAACAAGGUCUCCGUAGGUGAACCUGCGGAGGGAUCAUUACACAAAUAUGAAGGCGGGCUGGAACCUCUCGGGGUUACAGCCUUGCUGAAUUAUUCACCCUUGUCUUUUGCGUACUUCUUGUUUCCUUGGUCGGUUCGCCCACCACUAGGACAAACAUAAACCUUUUGUAAUUGCAAUCAGCGUCAGUAACAAAUUAAUAAUUACAACUUUCAACAACGGAUCUCUUGGUUCUG